rnacentral:rRNA from 1 species
ACGCUCGACACCUACGGGAGGCAGCAGUUGGGAAUAUUGGACAAUGGAGGAAACUCUGAUCCAGUGACGCCGCGUGAAGGAAGAAGGUCUUCGGAUUGUAAACUUAUUUUGUCAGGGAAGAAAAAUAGACUGUACCUGAAGAAAAAGACACCGGCUAACUACGUGUCAGCAGCCGCGGUAAUCUGAGCGGGCUGGCAAGGC